GACGAACGCUGGCGGCGUGCCUAAUACAUGCAAGUAGAACGCAGUUUCGAACGGGUGAGUAACACGUAGGUAACCUUCCUCAUUGCGGGGGAUAACUAUUGGAAACGAUAGCUAAUACCCCAUACUUUUACAUGGACCUGCGUUGGAUUAGCUAGUUGGUGCGGUACAGGCUCACCAAGGCGACGAUACAUAGCCGACCUGAGAGGGUGAUAAGCCACACUGGAACGGAGACACGGUCCAGACUCCUACGGGAGGCAGCAGUGGGGAAGUUUGGACAAUGGGGGAAACCCUGAUCCAGCCAUGCCGCGUGUGCGAUGAAGGCCUUCGGGUUGUAAAGCACUUUUGGCAGGAAAGCGGUACCUGCAGAAUAAGCACCGGCUAACUACGUGCCAGCAGCCGCGGUAAUUC
rnacentral:rRNA from 1 species